GGAAGAUACUUGAGCUUGCCACAUGGUUUUCAAAUAUGCAGCGUGUAACCAUUUACAAAUAUUUUCUAGAAAGUGAUUCAAUAUCUAUGGCAGUUGAAAGCAUCCUUCUUGGGAUACUGUAAAACCUAGAGCAGUCAAAUCUUUCCUCUCAGGUGCUGAGCUGUGAGAAAAGCCUCAGGAUGUGGCCUGUGCUGCCUUUGCCAGAAGAGUGCUGUCAGGAAGCAGGCAGAUCGGAAGGUAAUUCGGAAGCAUGUGCCUGCAACUCUUUAAUUAGCAAGAUUCUGUGUGAGCUCUGCCACUACCUGCCUGCGAGUGCCUGCGCUAUAAAUGGCUUGGACGGUCUUCCCUCAGAGAAAAGUUCUGGUUGUGCUCCGAGGCAUCAGCUCCCAAUGCCAGCGCGUAUCUGACCAGGUCAUCGCCUCUUUGCAGCUGAGACACAGGCAAUGGGUGGAGCACACGUUGCGCUCUAGGCAGCGUCAGAACUAUGUGCGCAUGCUCAGCAGUGUUGGACUUUUGUGUCCUGUGCUUUCCCUGAUUUUGUUGCUCCUUGCACUGGAAUUGGUCAGUGUUCAUGCUGUUCAUGGUAAAGAUGCUCAGGAACGACAGCAGUAUCUGAGGUUCUUAAAACUGAUCCUCCAAUACACUGAGAACCUAGUGGCCUAUACCAGCCGACAGAAGAACAAAUGGAAUGAAGCCGUCAGUCUCACACGUGCAGUUUUGUUGAGAAUUUGGACGUUCAGUGAGAAGAAACAAAUGUUAAUACAUUUAACCAAAAACACAAAUAAAGUUGACACAGGCUGACACGCUUUCUGUCAGAAUUGUCAUCUACGUGUUUCCACACAGAAGAAAAGGCUUCACAUCCAGCACAAUUAAGAAACACAUACCAUGGUAGUGCAUGAGUGAGGCCAGGUGAUAGAAGUUUAGAGCCUUCUUUUCUCCUUACGUCUUAGUAGAGGAAGCAGUUGCAUGAUACAUGUACAAAUUCAAGGUUCUGAAAAAUCUUGAGUUGAUGAUUCUUGUUGAUUGAAGGUGCUACCUGUAUGGCCCCAGCCAAUUGCCAAGUGUACUUAAAAACAAGGCUCACCCUGGCCUGCAGUACCUGUAGGGCUGCUCAGGGCUGACCAGGUCUAUGAAGGAAAUAGAGAACAGAAGACACAGAAAGCACAUGUAGAGGUUCUGAAAGAUAAUGAAAUAAACGGAAUGACUUCUUC
rnacentral:lncRNA from 1 species